AUAAAAUAAUUAUGUUUUUACAAUUUUAUUAUGAAUUUAUUUUACAUAUAAAUUUUAGUAUAUAAUUUUAAUUAUUUUAAAAAUAAUUAAUUAAUUUAUUUAAUAGUAAUUAAUAUUAAAAAUUUAAGAAAUUAAGAUUUAGUAAUAUAAAAAUUAAUAACUAAUUUUGUGCCAGCAGUUGCGGUUAAACAAAUAUUAAAUUAAAUUAUUUCGGUUUAUAAUAAAUAUAAUUGAUAUUAAAUUAAAUAUUAAAUUAUUAAGUGAAAUUUUAAUUUAAUUAAAAUUUAUGAAAAAAUUAUGAUUUAAUAAAUUUUAAUAUAAACUAGGAUUAGAUACCCUAUUAUUAAAAAUUUAAUUUAUAAUACUAAAAUAGUAAAUAAUAGUUUAUUGAAACUUAAAUAAUAUGGCGGUAUUUUAGUUCAUUUAGAGGAAUCUGUCUAAUAAUUGAUAAUCCACGAAUGAAUUUACUUAAUUUAUAAUUUUGUAUAUCAUUGUUAAAAAAAUAUUUUUUAGUAAAAAUAAUAUUUAAAAUUUUAAAAAAGAAUUUAAUUCAGAUCAAGAUGCAGAUAAUAAUUAAGAAUAUGAUGGAUUACAAUAAAUAUAUUUAAAUGGAUAUUUAUAUGUAAAAUAAAUUUGAAGGUGGAUUUAAAUGUAAUUUUAAUUAGUUUAUUAAAAUGAUUAAAAAUUGAAAUAUGUACAUAUUGCCCGUCACUUUCAUUUAAAAAUUGGAAUAAGUCGUAACAAAGUAGAGGUACUGGAAAGUGUUUCUAGAAAGA
rnacentral:ncRNA from 1 species